AUGGCCAAAUAUUUUUGGAUCAGCUCUAUAGACAAAAAUGUAUUGCAUUGGGUUUCCUGGAAGAGUUUAGCUACACCAAAGUGCCAAGGUGGUAUGGGGUUUCGUGACCCCCAUCAGUUCAAUCUUGCGCUGCUCGGGAAGCAUGGUUGGCGCUUUAUGACUAACCCUAAUUCCCUUUGCGCAAGAGUAAUGAAGGGCUGCUACUUUCCUGACACGGAUUUCUUGCAUGCUUCUGUGCGACUUGGUGGGCUAUCAUUGCUAGUAGGAAAGCCUUACAGGCGGGCCUCAUCAAAAGAGUUGGAGACGGGAGAUCCAUUGAUGCUUGGCAGGACAAGUGGAUUCCGGGUACCAUAUCUAUGUCACCUUUGCUAA
rnacentral:rRNA from 1 species